rnacentral:rRNA from 1 species
UACGGAGGGGGCUAGCGUUUGUUCGGAAUUACUGGGCGUAAAGCGCGUUCAGGCGGUUUGGCAAGUCGGGCAUGAAAUCUCUCGGCUCAACCGGGAGAGGUUGUCCGAUACUUCCAGACUUGAGGGCAGUAGAGGGUGGUGGAAUUCCGGGUGUAGUGGUGAAAUGCGUAGAUAUCCGGAGAACACCAGUGGCGAAAGCGGCCACCUGGACUGCACCUGACGCUGACACGCGAAAAGCUAGGGGAGCGAACGGG